CCUGGAAAGUUUUUCUGACGAACUUCGUGACAAGUCCAGAUUCUUGCCACCUGCCUGCUGCUUGAAGGGUUCCCAGAAUGGCUUUACACAUCACAGGAAGAAGCGGAAGAAAAUAAGAAACCCAAUUUUCUUUUAGUAUAUUACUUGUCAGACAGCGAAAUGGGAUAUAAUUAUGGUGUGACAUUUCCAACAGCAAAUAUGUUCCAGUGUAAGCAAUUAACACCGGUUCUUUUGGCAGGCUUAAAAAGAUUACUCAGAGUCUGUGAGAAAAGACAGACAAGAAGCCGAAGCUGAGGCCAGAGGAGGAGUUGGGAGCUGAAGGAAUCCUGUGAGAGAGCAUUAAGGUGGAUCGUACCCACACCUGCUGAUUUAGCUAAUGACGAUUCGGCUUUCCCGGGCACCUUCUCGGUCACGGCUCCUCCCCUCGAUGGCGCUGCACGUGGCUUCAGUACCUGCCAUUCCGCCAUCUGCCAUGUCAGGGUUCCUGUCUCUACCGGUCCCCUUGCUCUGCCGGCCCUUGGCCUCCCCUGGCACCUGCAGAGCACGGCCACUUCGUAAACGCAGUUGACAGCAAGCGGGUGGAUUGGCGAGGCCCUGGCUCUUCCGACGCGCCUCUCCCAGCUCCCAGGGAAGGAGAACAGGAGCAGCUCAGUGGCAUCCUGCCCCCUGCCAGCCCCAGGGAGACCUCCAGGUGCUCAGAGCUCCGGGCAGAGGACGGGCUUCCACGCAGGGUGGACACUGACCCUCUGCCGGAAGACAGCCUGCAGCCCAAGCAGGGCCUGGAGGAAGCAGCCUAUGACCGCAGGGGGCCUGCAGGACGGGCAGGAGGCCCCAGCAGAACCAGAGGAGGAAGGGGGGAGCCGCGGGCGCCUGACCUGCCAGGUGGCUCGCAGCCAUGUCCAGCUUCAACGCCCAGCUCCCAGGGGGGGCUCACACUGUGUUUUGCUUUUAUUUGUUUUCAGUUAAAUCAGCUGUCAGUUAACGCAAGAGACUCCAGACACUCAGGUUUCUUACGAAUAAAUAAAUGAAUACCAUCAGAA